rnacentral:rRNA from 1 species
GUCCACGCCGUAAACGAUGGGUGCUAGAUGUCGGGCAGCAUGCUGUUCGGUGUCGUAGCUAACGCGUUAAGCACCCCGCCUGGGGAGUACGGUCGCAAGAUUAAAACUCAAAGGAAUUGACGGGGGCCCGCACAAGCGGUGGAGCAUGUGGUUUAAUUCGAUGCAACGCGCAGAACCUUACCAGGCCUUGACAUGGGUAGUAUGGGCUCCGGAGACGGGGUCCUUCAGUUCGGCUGGCUACCACACAGGUGCUGCAUGGCUGUCGU